UACCUAGGUUGCAAUCGUGUUCCGGACUUAUUGUGCGUAAAGCGCGCGCAGGCGGUCCUUUAAGUCUGAUGUGAAAGCCCACGGCUCAACCGUGGAGGGUCAUUGGAAACUGGAGGACUUGAGUGCAGAAGAGGAAAGUGGAAUUCCAUGUGUAGCGGUGAAAUGCGUAGAGAUGUGGAGGAACACCAGUGGCGAAGGCGACUUUCUGGUCUGUAACUGACGCUGAGGCGCGAAAGCGUGGGGAGCAAACAGG
rnacentral:misc_RNA from 1 species